rnacentral:tRNA from 1 species
GCCCUUGUAGUUCAAGCGGAUAGAACGGAGGAUUCCUAAUCCUUUGAUCUGGGUUCGAGUCCCGGCAAGGGUA